UCCAUGUUUAGAUAUGGAUGUCUCUUCCUUUCUUUGUCCAAAAAUUGGAUAAAAUUAUUACAUCUCUAUUGUAGAUAUUUGGUGUAUGAAUUUUCGAAAGAAAAGAGAAGAAAGAAUUCUUCUCAUGAUCUUUAGCAUAGAGAUCAAGAUCCUCUUGCAUCUUCUUGUUCUCUAAGAGUGUCUUAGGAGAAAAAAAGAUUUUAACCAUCAAGAUGCGAUUUCUACAAGAG
rnacentral:lncRNA from 1 species